rnacentral:rRNA from 1 species
UGUGUAAGUAUAAAUAAUUUUACUUUGAAACUGCGAAUGGCUCAUUAUAUCAGUUAUAGUUUAUUAGAAAUACUUUACUACUUGGAUAACCGUAGUAAUUCUAGGGCUAAUACAUGACUAAAUCCUCAACUUCGGAAGAGGUGUGUUUAUUAGUAUGAAAACCAUAUAUCUUCGGAUAUAAUAGUGAGUAAUAAUAACCUUUCAUAUCGUAUGUCGUAAGAUAACGAUAGUUCUUUCAAGUUUCUGCCCUAUCAGCUUUCGAUGGUAGUAUAUGGGACUACCAUG